rnacentral:rRNA from 1 species
AGAGUUUGAUCAUGGCUCAGAACGAACGCUGGCGGCAGGCUUAACACAUGCAAGUCGAACGCCCCGCAAGGGGAGUGGCAGACGGGUGAGUAACACGUGGGAACGUACCUUUCGGUUCGGAAUAACUCAGGGAAACUUGAGCUAAUACCGGAUACGUCCGCAAGGAGAAAGAUUUAUUGCCGAAAGAUCGGCCCGCGUAGGAUUAGCUAGUUGGUGAGGUAAUGGCUCACCAAGGCGACGAUCCUUAGCUGGUCUGAGAGGAUGAUCAGCCACACUGGGACUGAGACACGGCCCAGACUCCUACGGGAGGCAGCAGUGGGGAAUAUUGGACAAUGGGCGAAAGCCUGAUCCAGCCAUGCCGCGUGAAUGAUGAAGGCCUUAGGGUUGUAAAGUUCUUUCAACGGUGAAGAUAAUGACGGUAACCGAGAAGAGCCCCGCUCGCAGC